rnacentral:rRNA from 1 species
UACGGAGGGGGCUAGCGUUGUUCGGAAUUACUGGGCGUAAAGCGCACGUAGGCGGCUUUGUAAGUUAGAGGUGAAAGCCCGGGGCUCAACCCCGGAAUUGCCUUUAAGACUGCAUCGCUUGAAUUGUGGAGAGGUAAGUGGAAUUCCGAGUGUAGAGGUGAAAUUCGUAGAUAUUCGGAAGAACACCAGUGGCGAAGGCGACUUACUGGACACAUAUUGACGCUGAGGUGCGAAAGCAUGGGGAGCGAACAGG